rnacentral:rRNA from 1 species
UACAGAGGUCUCAAGCGUUGUUCGGAUUCAUUGGGCGUAAAGGGUGCGUAGGUGGCGGGGCAAGUUUGGUGUGAAAUCCCGGGGCUCAACCCCGGAACUGCACUGAAUACUGCCUUGCUAGAGCACUGGAGAGGGAACUGGAAUUUACGGUGUAGCAGUGAAAUGCGUAGAUAUCAGGAGGAACACCGGUGGUGUAGACGGCUUUCUGGACCGUAACUGACGCUGAGACACGAAAGCGUGGGUAGCAAACAGG